GUUGUUUCAGUUGGGCCAUGAGAAGUAUAAGUUCUAAAGUUGCAACUUUGGGUCAGGAAGGAGUACGCUGAGCGUACUAGGCGCGCCCUAGUACGCUGGGCGUACACUCAUGUACGUUGGACGUACUCAUGUCAGGAGAAAACCCUAAUAUUUAGGGUUUGGGGACUAUAUUAACACCCUUAUGGAUCAUUUCCUCUGAUUAUCCUCAGCAUCCACUGCCUACAUUCGUCCUCCCCAAAAUCCUAGCUCUUCCUUGUGGAUGUAAGCUUAUUUGGUGUGUUUUAGAGUGUUUCAAGAGGAAGGCAUUGCAUCCAAGUGUUGGAGAAGAAGAUCAAGUUCAUAGAUCUGAAGUUAGUUUGUGCUCAAGAAGCUCCUAAAGUUCGGGAUUCCCGGUGAGACAACAGUUAGAGAAUUACAGUAUUUCAGCACUACUUGCGAGGUACAUCAGGGGAUUGCGACAAGGCGAAGGCGUGAUCGUACAGCUCCUCAUAUUUAUGUUUAUGUUUCUGGGAUACUCUGAUAUUAUACCUUUUGAAAACAAGUUUUGUAAUAACUAAUGGUUUUUGGAUUGUUUAAAAAGUUUUAA